rnacentral:rRNA from 1 species
GUGAACGCUGGCGGUAGGCCUAACCCAUGCAAGUCGAACGGCAGCACCGUAAGAGCUUGCUCUUACGGGUGGCGAGUGGCGGACGGGUGAGGAAUACAUCGGAAUCUACUUUUUCGUGGGGGAUAACGUAGGGAAACUUACGCUAAUACCGCAUACGACCUACAGGUGAAAGCAGGGGAUCUUCGGACCUUGCGCGAUUGAAUGAGCCGAUGUCGGAUUAGCUAGUUGGCGGGGUAAAGGCCCACCAAGGCGACGAUCCGUAGCUGGUCUGAGAGGAUGAUCAGCCACACUGGAACUGAGACACUGUCCAGACUCCUACGGGAGGCAGCAGUGGGGAAUAUUGGACAAUGGGCGCAAGCCUGAUCCAGCCAUACCGCGUGGGUGAAGAAGGCCUUCGGGUUGUAAAGCCCUUUUGUUGGGAAAGAAAAGCAGCAGGUUAAUACCCCGCUGUUCUGACGGUACCCAAAGAAUAAGCACCGGCUAACUUCGUG